UCAAAGCCUGGACGAUGAAGUUGGAAACGACACGGCCGUCAUCCGGUCGCAUCC
rnacentral:sRNA from 1 species